rnacentral:rRNA from 1 species
UACAGAGGUCUCAAGCGUUGUUCGGAAUCACUGGGCGUAAAGGGUGCGUAGGCCGCACGGUAAGUCAGAGGUGAAAUCCCGGAGCUCAACUUCGGAAUUGCCUCCGAUACUGCCGUGCUUGAGGACUGGAGAGGAGAUUGGAAUUCACAGUGGAGCAGUGAAAUGCGUAGAUAUUGUGAGGAACACUAGUGGCGAAGGGGAAUCUCUGGACAGUUCCUGACGCUGAGGCACGAAGGCCAGGGGAGCAAACGGG